GAAUUAAUUGAUGUUAUCUUCCCUGCAUCAAAAGCUUAACUGUAACGUAUAAGAAGUAAAGAACUGCCAGAAGAGCCAGCACUUCCAGUCUGUAGCUCUCCCAUUACCAUCAAUCCUGGUUUUGAUCUACUUGUAGCACCAGCUAUUGGCUGUGUAAAGAACCUCAAAAAGAUAGUAAACUGUUUAAAUGAAAUAUAUUACAUAGACAAAGCAAUUACGGUUGUGAAGCACUUUUUAAGUGAGAAUACCUGCUCCCUGUUAGAUCUCACCCACCAGAAAGAUUUGUGGGACUCAAAAAUGCUGGUGCUACUUAUCAAAUGAAUUCUGUGAUGCAGUAUAUAUAUAUACAUACACACAUAUGUAUAUAUACACAUAUUAUACAUAUAUAUAUAUUCCACUAGAAACAGUGCUCUUGCUAAUGAAUGCAUAGCUGAAAAUAUAGACAAUGAUUUUCCAAAGAUGAGAAGCAGAACAGUGAGGUAAAU
rnacentral:lncRNA from 1 species